rnacentral:tRNA from 1 species
GCGUCGGUAGUCCAAUGGCUAGGAUAGAAGCCUUCCAAGCUUCGGAUCCGGGUUCGAAUCCCGGCCGACGCA